UCCUUUCAUAAAAUUAUGCCUUUGCCGUUUCUUGCCUUUCUUUCAUUUAGGUUCAGCUUAACUACCCAUUGCCAAGAGGAUGUUUUGCUGAUAAAAUGAAAGAUCAGGAAGAGACUAAAUCUGAAAUAAUUGUGAACUUCAGAACAUUGUACUUAUUAUUGCCAUGUGGCUAACAGCUGACCAACUUUAAGCCGUUUCUACGUACACUCCAAAACUAAAUAGCGUUGAACGAGAAAGUGCAGCCUUCUGCCUGUCGCGUCACCAGGUUCUUUUAAACUGGAAGAGUAAAGACCAUUUCGUGGGGAAGACAAUUGAGAAAUUCCAAUCCGGUCUCAUUUUUGCAGUUCCUGAUCGUCACUAUCUACCCCACGUCUUUAAGAAUUUCCCUCACCCAGGAGGCAGAUCUGUUGAUUUAAGAAUACCCUGGUAAGGACUGUCCAUUUUGCGGUUCAUUGCAAUAUUAUCGAUUCGAG
rnacentral:lncRNA from 1 species